AUGCGGUUGAGAGGUUGCCCAAGCCACAAUAAGUUUGCAAGACUGCUCUCAGCCAACAUUGAAAUGCGUAUCGCAAGCAGUCUAGGAUCGCUAUUCAAGGAAAAUGGAGGGCAGUUCCAAACAGGCUCUAGCACUUGCAUGCUCCAGAAGAGGCUUGCUUCCCACGUUCUGCCCUGUGUGAAGAAGAGAUGGCGAACUCCUACUGAGAAUGAUGGAUACAUUCUGUCGCAGAACUCCAAUCCAUUGAUGACCAAAGUUAUACUUGCGUGCUCAGUCUCCCAGAGAGACUUGCCUCCAGUGUCCUGCCCUGAGGGAAGAAGAUAUGGCUGGAUCCCAAUGAGAUGGCGAACUCCUACAGAAAGUGGGAUGGAAGAUGGAUACAUUCUGUUGCAAGGCUCCAACCCCCUUGAUAUUUGGUCCAGCUGCCUGAUGGCAAUCUACUUGGCGGUCUUGCUGCCGUUGUGGCAAUGCGAAUGUUUGACUGGGUUUGCAAUGUUGAGGUGCCGAGACAACAGAUGACACCAGGAUUACUUGAGGACAUUGACAGGUCAGUCAGUGCAAAAGAUAGACGGUUCUGUCUUGUAGCUAUGCUGUGGCUUUUAUGUGAUGAAUAUACUAGAGUCCCUGAUUUCCUAUGAAUCUCUUUCACAGUGCACUGACACGGAUUGUAAUUUGUCAUAAAUUGUUCUCUAUGCUACGUGAUUGUAACGUUGUGAUAAUGUUUCUUAGGACUUGAGGAUGAUGCCGAUGCUUGUUGAAGAGCUUCCGUCGUGAAAAGAGCUGUUCGCCAAGGAGGCAUUCCAUUGUGUGGACUGUGUAUCCAUGGCUGUAUUUUGUGCCAAUGGCAAAUUAACUUUGAUUUGAUCUCCUAAAGGCGCCAAGAGUCAAGUCAUGUAGGUGGUAUUCCUCUUGACGUUGUCCUUGGACUCCCUUCUACUACAGUCCCCCCCCCCCCCCCCCCCCCUAAGUAAAGUACUUUGACAACUGCUGAUGUAAAAACAAAAAGUUUCUGAUAAUAAACUUUUAAAUUGCCACCAAUAAAAAGUAAUUUGAUUGCAGCAUUUGAAUAAAGAAUGAACGGUCAUCCUUGCACUAUUUUGUGAGGGCAUAUAUUUUACGGGGGGGGGGGGGGGGGGGGGGGACGACGAAGACGACAUGUACAAAGGAAUGCAUACAGAGAUUUCCACCCUCAGUUCCCAUCUGCCUACAUCCCGUUUCCUUCAUAUGUGGGAUCUGCAGUUAAGUGUCUGGGGUGAAGUUACUAAACUUGUUUUGGCGUGCAUGGAAUUACAUGCUUUGCGUCUCUUAGUGAUCGUUGCUUGAAUCUCAUGAUUAGUGCUGGCAGGCAGCAAUGCUGUGAUUUCAUUUUUGUUGUAGCAACCACCUACGUUUAAACGAGUCGAUACAGUUCAUAUUAGACGUUAUAACGGACUUAUCAACAGCGAGAAUGGACGGUACUAGUCAAGUAACAAAUGUGCCCGACUGGUGGUCUCGAAAGUGACCUUAUCAAUAUGCAACCCGUUUUAUAUUUUAAUUUAACGGUUGCUUUCUAAGUGGUUUUGAGGUCAACGUCUGAGCGUUUCACAUAGACACUGCAGCUAUAUGGAACAUGUGUAUUAGGUUCCUGAAUAGCCCUUACUAUAGACUGGUUUUCACACGAUAUUUAAGGAAUAGCCCAUACUAUAGACUGGUUUUCACACAAGAUAUUAAUGGAAUAACCCAUACUAUAGACUGGUUUUCACACGAUAUUUAAGGAAUAGCCCUUACUAUAGACUGGUUUUCACACAAGGUACAGUAGACACCAUUAUUUAAGCGGAGGAUAUAAUGUGCUCGGACUAAACCAUAUUGAAACAGAUGAGCAAUUAACUUGGCCCGUGUCUUUUGUUCCUGUCAUCUCGGAAAUACGUGAACUGUUUCCGGUUUCAGGUGCGUUCUAUUGUAACUAGCUAGGUUUGCACAUAACCAGUAUGCGACUUUUCCCCGUUUCGACGUUAAAGGUUUCCUAGACACUUAGCUAAUGUCAUAUGAACACCUGUAAACUGUCCCAGUCGAUUUGUUGGAUGAUUCCACGACGUUAAGAUACACAUUUGAAUUGUCAAGCGAACGAAAGCCUUUUAUACGUGGUCUUUGCUAACUAGCCUAGCCUCAAACUGUCUAAAAGAGACCAAGGUGAGUGUCGCUUUUUCAACUCACGACUUGAUUUGUGACAACUGAAUAACUUGAUUUAACAAGACUAGUUGUCAAACUUUUGCCAUAAUUUUUUUUUUGUGUGUGUGCAAACAUAACUAUACCAGGCUAAUGUCAGAAAAAGUAGCAAGUUAUAGUAGUUAGUUGGUUAGCGGUGAAUUUGUGAACUAAUUUAGCUAACUAAUUAUCUUAGGAAGAGCUAUAACUUAUAAUUUAUCGACUCAUAUUGUAAUGUUUCCCCUCCCCAGACCAAGAAGUGGAAAAGAGACUACACACAGUUAAAUUUGAAGAUGAAAUAUUUGUUCUGCUUUUCGUUAGGCUGAGGAACUCCAGAAAAACAUUCGUUGUCAAGAGUUGGAAGAUUUGCUUGUUGCAUUCCUCGACUAAACAAUAGUCUUUACCCUGCAAUGUUAGCUGCCCAUGUACUUUUAGAAAGAACCGUAACAUAUUAUACAUACUUGGCUAAGUAUAUUUCUGUAGACUAGGCCUACUAAACUAGCCAUUAGCUAAUGUCCGUAAUUCGUCCGGAUAUUAGGGAUUCUAAACUAUUUCUAUCACUUCAAAACCAAAGGUAAUCUUUUGGUAUGGUUUAUUUGUUUGACGUUAGUGUUAUAAGAGUAAAAGUAGGUGAAGAAAGGUGAAAGUCUUGGGGACGACAUGUAGCUAGUGAGUACCCUCAUUGGAAUUUUCCCUUGGGCGUUGGUGGUUGGUUUCGAUUUAACACUAUUAGGUGUGUCAUGUGACUCGUCCUGUGGUACACACUUUCCCUCAUCAUUCCCAGUGAUCUCACGGCAAGGAGAGUUAAUUUGACUUAUCUAAUGUACUAUAGCUAGGCUAUAGUCUAACAAACCCUCCUACAAAAUCUUAAAACGGAAAUAAAUAGACAGAAUUAAGGGC
rnacentral:lncRNA from 1 species